CACAGAACUAUACACCUGAGGGUGGAUGGACUGGCCGCCCAGGAAGUGGCAGAGAGAGGCUGCUGAGGCUGAGCAUCUUUUGUCAUGUCUGCUAGUCAUGUGUAUUUCACCAGAGUCACUUCAGACUUCUAUCGGCUAAAUUUGUAUGGAAGGCAGAAUUCUAGGACGAUCCUCAAGAUUCCCACACCCUGGAGUUCAUGCUUUGUAUAAUCCCCUCCCCUUGAGAGUGGGUGGGAAUUGUGAACUUGAUGGGGCAGUCACUCCCUUGAUUAGGUUACAUGAUAUGACAAAGGUGACGGUCACUCUCAUGAUUGCCUUAUGUUACAUACACUAAUCUCAUGGUGGACUGGAGAAAGAUGCUCCUGCUGGCUUUGAAGAAGCAAGCUGCCAUUCUGUGACAUGGCCAAAUGAUGUAUUGCCAAAUGGCCAUGUGAUGUAUGGCUGUAUGGCCACGGCUAUUACCUGAGGGCAGCCUCUAGGAGCUAAGAGUGACCCCCACCAACAGCCAGCAAGAAAUGUGGACCUAUGUUCUCAACUACAAGAAACUGAAUUCUGCCUACACUGUGAGUGAGCUUGGAUGAACACUCCAAGAUCCAGAUAAGAACAAAGCCCUGGUCAACAUCUUAAUUUCAGUCUUGUGAGACCCUGAGCAAGGAACGCAGCUAUGCCAUACUGGACUUCUGACCUAAAGAACUAUGAGGUAGUCAAUGAGAGUUGUUUUAAACCACUAAGUUUGUGGUAAUGUUACACAGCAAUAAAAAUGUGUACAGUUGAUGUUCUGUUAGAAUGAGGGAAUUGGUGUGGAUGUUGGAACAUUAUGGAACGUGAGAGGGUGGUGUGGUCAGCAAAUUAUAUGGGCUAUAGAAGAAAAGAGGAAGGAGGUUCUCAGGCCCAAUUCCCUGCUGUUUCCCGGAGCCCAACUUCCUGCAUUUGCUCAGAGCUAGAUUCCCUCCACUUCGUUCCUUUGAUUUUCCUUCAGGAAAAAUCCAUCUGAAUCUGGCCAUUUCUAGCUUUAAAUAAUUUAGCCAGACCCUUCUACUCCAAUUAUUCCCCCUGUGGUUCUGGACCCUGAUUCUCACAUAGGUAGGUGCAGUAUCUGAGGGCUUUGCUUUGAAAUACAAAGUGACACUCUUAUGCGAUUGAUAUUCACCUACUUGGUUGAAUAACUUUGUCUGUUGAACAUUUUGUAUGUAUUUGUCUUUUUCCACAUCAACACAAAUAUAAUUUGGAUAUAAUAUUGUAGGAAAUAAAGAAAAACCUAGUAUUGUCA